GUGCUCAUUUUGGCAGCACAUAUACUAAAAUUGGAGCAAUACAGAAGAUUAGCAUGGCUCUUGCACAAGGAUGACAUGCAAAUUCCUGAAGCAGUCCAUAUUUUU
rnacentral:snRNA from 1 species